UACAGAGGGGGGCAAGCGUUAUUCGGAAUUAUUUGGGCGUAAAGGGCGCGUAGGCGGCUUUGCAAGUGACGGGUGAAAUCCCUCGGCUUAACCGAGGAACUGCAGCCGAUACUGCGGGGGCUAGAGUGCAGAAGGGGCAACUGGAAUUCUCGGUGUAGCGGUGAAAUGCGUAGAUAUCGUAAGGAAGACCAGUGGCGAAAGGCGGGGUCUCUGGACAGUUCCUGACGUGAGGCACGAAGGCCAGGGGGAGCAAACGGGG
rnacentral:rRNA from 1 species